rnacentral:rRNA from 1 species
CGGUAACAGCUCAAAUUUGAAAUCUGGCCGCAAGGUCCGAGUUGUAAUUUGUAGAGGAUGUUUCGAGCAUGGUCUGGCCUAAGUUCCUUGGAACAGGACGUCAUAGAGGGUGAGAAUCCCGUAUGCGGUCAGGUGCCUACGCUCAUGUGAAACUCCUUCGACGAGUCGAGUUGUUUGGGAAUGCAGCUCAAAAUGGGUGGUAAAUUUCAUCUAAAGCUAAAUAUUGGCCAGAGACCGAUAGCGCACAAGUAGAGUGAUCGAAAGAUGAAAAGCACUUUGGAAAGAGAGUUAAACAGUACGUGAAAUUGUUGAAAGGGAAGCGCUUGCAACCAGACUUGCGCGCGGCUGAUCAUCCGGGCUUCUGCCCGGUGCACUCGGUCGCGCUCAGGCCAGCAUCGGUUUUGGUGGCGGGAUAAAGGCCUUGGGAAUGUAGCUCCUCUCGGGGAGUGUUAUAGCC